UAGUUUGAUUCUGGCUCAGAUUGAACGCUGGCGGCAUCCCUUACACAUGCAAGUCGAACGGCAGCAUGAUCUAGCUUGCUAGAUUGAUGGCGAGUGGCGAACGGGUGAGUAAUACAUCGGAACGUGCCCUGUAGUGGGGGAUAACUAGUCGAAAGAUUAGCUAAUACCGCAUACGACCUGAGGGUGAAAGUGGGGGACCGCAAGGCCUCAUGCUAUAGGAGCGGCCGAUGUCUGAUUAGCUAGUUGGUGGGGUAAAGGCCCACCAAGGCGACGAUCAGUAGCUGGUCUGAGAGGACGAUCAGCCACACUGGGACUGAGACACGGCCCAGACUCCUACGGGGGGCAGCAGUGGGGAAUUUUGGACAAUGGGCGAAAGCCUGAUCCAGCAAUGCCGCGUGUGUGAAGAAGGCCUUCGGGUUGUAAAGCACUUUUGUCCGGAAAGAAAUGGCUCUGGUUAAUACCUGGGGUCGAUGACGGUACCGGAAGAAUAAGGACCGGCUAACUACGUGCCAGCAGCCGCGGUAAUACGUGGGGUCCAAGCGUUAAUCGGAAUUACUGGGCGUAAAGCGUGCGCAGGCGGUUGUGCAAGACCGAUGUGAAAUCCCCGAGCUUAACUUGGGAAUUGCAUUGGUGACUGCACGGCUAGAGUGUGUCAGAGGGGGGUAGAAUUCCACGUGUAGCAGUGAAAUGCGUAGAGAUGUGGAGGAAUACCGAUGGCGAAGGCAGCCCCCUGGGAUAACACUGACGCUCAUGCACGAAAGCGUGGGGAGCAAACAGGAUUAGAUACCCUGGUAGUCCACGCCCUAAACGAUGUCAACUAGUUGUUGGGGAUUCAUUUCCUUAGUAACGUAGCUAACGCGUGAAGUUGACCGCCUGGGGAGUACGGUCGCAAGAUUAAAACUCAAAUGAAUUGACGGGG
rnacentral:rRNA from 1 species